UACGGAGGGAGCGAACGUUGUUCGGAAUUACUGGGCGUAAAGCGCACGUAGGCGGCUUUGUAAGUUAGAGGUGAAAGCCCGGGGCUCAACUCCGGAACUGCCUUUAAGACUGCAUCGCUUGAAUCCGGGAGAGGUGAGUGGAAUUCCGAGUGUAGAGGUGAAAUUCGUAGAUAUUCGGAAGAACACCAGUGGCGAAGGCGGCUCACUGGACCGGCAUUGACGCUGAUGUGCGAAAGCGUGGGGAGCAAACAGG
rnacentral:rRNA from 1 species